AACGAACGCUGGCGGCGUGGAUAAGACAUGCAAGUCGAACGGGACUAAAUCUGUAGCAAUACAGGUUUAGUUUAGUGGCGAACGGGUGCGUAACACGUGGGCAAUCUGCCGAGAAGUGGGGGAUAGCUCGCCGAAAGGCGAAUUAAUACCGCAUAUGAUCAGCUAAGACAUCUUAGCGACAUCAAAGCCGGGGAUCGAAAGACCUGGCGCUUCUUGAUGAGCCCGCGGCCUAUCAGCUAGUUGGUGAGGUAACGGCUCACCAAGGCUAUGACGGGUAGCUGGUCUGAGAGGACGACCAGUCACACUGGAACUGAGACACGGUCCAGACACC
rnacentral:rRNA from 1 species